CUUUUCAGAUUUCUGUGGCUCAGAAAACCAACACAGACAGGCUGCGAACAGGGAGACGGCUCAGGGCGUGCAAAAAUAUAAAUAUCAAUACUGGAUUAUUCCAGCACCACUUUCCUCUGCGACGACAGACGGAGCGCUCCGGUGACGAGGUCACGACCUCACAGAACCCAACCUGUUGGUUCAUUCAGCUCCGACAUUUCACCGUUAAAACGUCUCUGCUCUGUGUGACCAGAGAUUAUACAUCACUAACUACCUGUACAGGUCAAGUUAUUCAUCUGCAGUUGCUAGCAGGUAGCAACAGAUCUGCAGCGUUUGUUUCAACCGCGGCGCAGAAAUCGCUCACAUUCUUCAGCCGUGACAAGGAAAUCCUUCAGAUCAGCUCCACCCUGAUGGAGCCUGUUUGGACACAAAUGCUACAGAAAACCUGGAGAUGCUGAGACGACAACAUGAUGCUUGAUUCAGAAUAACGCUGAAGAGAAACAGAUCAACCUCACAGCUCACUUACUGCUGUCAUCAGAACCUGGAACCAGAACCAUCACAUGACCCACCAGGAGGCCUGCAGGAACUCUGGAGUCAUGAGAAAUCUGCAAAGCAUCAGGAUUUCAUUUAAAUCAGUACAUGUGGAAGUGGCAGCAUCAUGACCCAACAGAGAACAAACACACAUCAAACCUUUCAUGUUUGUAUUUGGAAAUAGAAACAUUUACCAUAACAACAUAACAACAUAAGAUUUAAUGUGUUACAAUGUUUCAUGCAAUUAAUGCCAGAUUUUUAUACACAAAAGUUCAGAGCGGAACCUUUGUGUUCAGGUGUUUCUGGUACAGCAGUAAAUCUGAUGCACAACCAACAUCCGCUAACAACAGCGAUGGACGACGAAGCUGCUUCUCUGAGACGGUUGAGUUCUGCUUUACAAAACAAUCUGAUUGGACGCUGACUGUUGUGUUCAAGUUGUGCUAACAGCAGUUAGCGUAUCAGUGAAACUAUUCAAGCCUAAAGUAGCCUCUCAAUGCUAACAUGUAGCGGCUAAUGCUAAUGUCAGCGUCCGCUGUCUACAUUUCUAAAGAAGCUCUGGGCAGCUUAAUGGAGAACAACACGUUGCUCCAAUCUGAUGGUUGAAUAACAGAUUAAAAACUAUAAAUAUCUUUGCUGUUUAGCUCACAUGUCUAUUUAUUUGGUAAUUUAGCAGAAAAGUUGCUUCCAUUGCACCAAUAAGCACAACUUUGUUUUGGGUUUUCACAUAAAAUUUUAGUAAAAUCCGUUAGAGUUUGAGCUCUGAACGUCUUUUCAUUGGGUUAUUCUCCUGGUUCUUUCUGUUCUUCUGGAGGAACCGAUCCGUCUACAUGGGUCCAGUUGGUGUGGUUCUGCUUCACCACAGGUUCAACCUGAACCAGUUGGUUUUAUCUGCAGCCCAGUUCAGACAGCAGGCCUCCAUUACUGCCAUCAGCUCACUAACGGCUCUGCCACUGAUAACAAACACAUCUAAUCCUGAUGCUAAUGAGAAAAUAAAAAAGCUGGAAACAUUAAAACCCGGUUUCCCCCCAACAGAACGAACAAUGACCGGGUCAACAUUUACAUUCUGUCUCAUUAAGCUGAAGCAGAUUAGAUUAGUGAGAGUGUUUACAGGAUUAACCCCAAACUGCAUAAUUAGGAUUGUGUAGCUGAAACCUGUGGAUGACGGUUCCUCCUCUUCCAGCUCUUUGCUUUAAAUUGAUCUGUUUUGGAGUCGAUACAUGUGGAAAUGUUGAAAUGUUAUAAAUCUAAAGAAAACAGUGAAAAAAUUCACGUUUUGUUUAUUGAGUCUCUGGAAAUUAUAAUUCUUCUGAUUCCUUUUGAAUUGACGGUUGGAAAAACUCAGUAAAAUUAAAUCAUUGAAUUUAACCGUUUCUGUUGGUUUUGGGUUUUUGCUGAAAUGUUUGGUAAAACCCAACAGGAGCAUCUUGGAUGCAUCACUGUUAUUAGCGGAUGUUGCUUGUGUCAUGAAACGGUGAAGGUGGCGAGGCAAACGCUGUAGACCCAGGUUGAGAUGAUUGAUGGUUGUUUUAAUGAUAAAUACUGAUCCACAGUCCAGACAAAACCAAGUAGUUCACUGCCAGGCAGCACGACUGAGCAGAAAGCCAGGGCUCAACAUCGGCAGCACUGGAGCAACGAAGGACUAGGUAAUCACAGCUAGACAGACUUGAGGCAAACAAAUGACUGCUUAGACAAGGACAGAGACACAGAGACACUAAAUACAUACGAGGUAAUCAGAGAAUGAGACACACCUGGGAACUAAUCAAGGGAGACUCAGAGACACAGAAACGCGAAAUAAAGACACAGAAAAACAUAGAACAUGACAGCUUGUGCGUCAGAAUUACCAGAAAUACGUGAAUACAAAGGUUCCGGUUAAAACCUUUGCAUGUAAAAAAAAAAAGUGUUUAGUUGUGUUAAAAAGUUUAAUGCAUAAUUAAUUACCUGAAAUGAACGUGUCAAAGUCUUGAGGGUUAACUAACUCACGCCUUCGCCUCAGUGAGCUUGAGGUGAAGCUCAUUGAGGUGAAGCAGCUCAUUGAGGUGAAGCAGCUCAUUGAGGUGAAGCUCAUUGAGGUGAAGCUCAUUGAGGUGAAGCUCAUUGAGGUGACAGACAUUUUGCUUCUUUACAUGUUUGCAAAACCUAGCGAGUUGCUAGCGUUUAAUUUUUUCAUCAUGUGUUAGUUAUUGGGAUGUAAACUUUUUAAAAUCAAAGCAAACGUCAUUCCAGGGAGGGAGGGUGAAUCUAAUCUGCCUGGCUGACUGGCAGGAUGCUGCCUGCGUUUCCUAAUGAACGACAAUGAACUUGAGGUGAAGGCGUUAGCUUGUAGCAUCAUUCUGAUGGAUAAACUAUUUAUGGCAGAGUUAGCUUUGGUUGAGUCGAGGUGAAGAACUGGUGCAGACGUCCUCCACCUUAAAUCAGCAGCUGGGUGCUGGAAAAGCUCCAGUUGGGUCUUCAGGCAGGACGAUGGAACCAAACUCUGAGUUUUUGGUGUUUUUGAGUAAUUUUGCUCUCCUUGACUCUGUUUGUUUUCCAGGUUCUCUCCUUCCUGGACCCUCCAGGUCUAGAAGCUGAGCAGCAGGAGCCGCUGACCUUGGCUGACCCCGGCUGACCGGUUAACUGGCUGGCGGGCCCCGGCGGCGUCCAGCAGCACGGCUGACUGGAGGCCCGAACCCGCCACACCGCUGGGCUCCUAAUCCUGUUACGGAGGAAAGAGACAAUUACUCUGCUGCUCCACGGUUCAGCGCUCAGAUCCGCUUCCAGCAGAGCAAAAGAAAAAACCUUUAUCUCCACCAGGGAACAGACAAACAUCACCUCAAACCUUCCAGGCUCCACAAACACCCAAAAAGUCACGCAGACCUCGACUUGUGGACACAAAUCUCCUUGGAGACGGCCGGGUGGAGCCUGGAGACACAAACGCUGCUAAUCACCACUUGUCCUGAGAUCCUAAACUGAAGGUGUUUUCCCACCUGAUGGUCCGGUAGACUUGGUUCAAAUUGGGAUCAAAGUUGCAUCAUCUGCUCCAGCUCCAGCUGCUGUGGUUCUUUCUCGCUGCUCUGAGUCAAACCA